GUACUGCUGAGGAGUCCCACAACAGGAUGAAACGUCCGUUCAGUGC
rnacentral:hammerhead_ribozyme from 1 species